rnacentral:tRNA from 1 species
GGCCUCGUAGCUCAAUGGCUGUACUAAAGCUUUCCCCUUGCUGGUGUGGGUUCGAAUCCCACCGAGGCCC